rnacentral:lncRNA from 1 species
GUAUUCUGCACGGACUGCUGGGCAGCACUAGCACUCUGGAGAAGGUCUGCCGCUGUCUGCACUUUCCUGGUGAGAAUCCCCAAUGACAGUCCCACUUUUCAGUGGAGGAGAACAAAAUAUCUGUCUACUCUCUUGAAGAAGGACACGGCUUUGAUCAUAUUUGUUCAGGCUUGACUUGGCCGGAGGUUUUAGGUUCUUAGUCUCAAGUCAGCAGUCUCUCUCUCUCUCUCUCUCUCUCUCUCUCUCUCUCUCUCUGAAACACACACACACAGAGACGCACACACACACAAGCACACACAUACACAAGCGCAAAUCCUCUCUUUCUCUUUCUCUCAUUUCCCGUCAUAGGUUCUAUGCAGGCAGAUGAGUGUCACAGCUGUAACUGAGGCACAGAGCAGUACACACAGUGGAGCCGAUUUCCGCGAUGGCGAGAGGGGGCACCGGAGGUGACAACAAUAACAAGACUGUCCUUCGGACAAGUUUUAGAUUCUCAGGAUGAUGGAGUGAGUGAUGGAAUAGGUUGCCAACUGUAGUUACUCCACUCAGCACAGAAUGGCUGCGGGGAAAUAUAAUCAGACAUGCCCAAAGAAGUCUGCUUAGGGUGAAACAAAUACCUUUGAGGUUUAAAUCAGCAUUCCAUCCGUGCAGGCAGAUGGUGUUCCUAGGUUUGGAAAUAUAAAUCCCAUGGGAAGUCAGCUGAAGACCAUUUUAUGCAUCACUCAUCCUGUUAGAGCCCUGUGCUGUUCUGUCUCUCUAUAAGACUGGCUGAAACCACCACGGUUGUUUACAAUUUAUGCUCUAACUUUGGAUCACCUAGUUAAUACUCUAACUCCGAUUAUUACCAAAGACAAUGUUCUAUAAAAGAUAUUGUCUAUUAGAAGGAUGCUUCUGCAUUAUUAAUAAAAUCACAGGGAAAAUGCAACAUUUUGGAUGUCACAUCUGAUAAGUUGGCAGUUAAAGAACAGAAACAGCAAUAAGACUGCGUGGCUACAUUUUCCCAGUGCCACCAACUGGGAUUUAAGCUGACUAACAUUUUGAAAGCCCAGCCCAUUUCAUUCACAGCAGGAUGGCAGUGGGUGACUGAUCGUACCCGCCAGCUGGCUAAUGUCAUAAUUAACAAAGUUGCUACUACAUCUGCAAAGUUUAAUCGAAAAAUUUGCCAGUGAUAUGAUGGCCUUGUCACAGAGAUCACAAGGGACACGGAGUUGACUUUUGCUCAAGGUGGAACGACAGAGCUGUGUAGGCAAGAUGAGAAAUUGCGAACUUGUUCGGCCAAAGGAACGACUAUGCUCUGGAGAGUCCUGUAAUUUGCAGAAAAUGGACCAAGAUAACAUUUGAGUUCCAUGCUACCAAAAUCCUCUUGAGAAGGACAGCUAGCUACCCAGAAUAUUUAACAUUGUGACAUUGAAAUGUUGGAUGAACGAUUAAAAUGAAGAAUCUAGUCAUAGGUUGUAAGAAAUCGCUAAAUUAUUAUGUUUAAUCCAAAGAAGAGAAAGGAAAAGCUGUUUUCAUUCCCCCCAGCCUCUGAGGAGGCUAAUAAUGAAGGGGCCGGGAAGGAGGCCAGUGCUACCAGGGUUAUCUCACAACCUCAGAUGCUGGAUAAGUCGACGGAGGCAGAAUCGCUUUGGGAUGACAUUCAGAAAGCCUGGAGUGAUUACUUGCAAGAGAAAAGCCUACCUAUUCUUUCCAAGGUGCAGGAAUAUUCCCCUGACCUGCUCAUCCAGUGGUCCAGUAAUGAAUUACUGGAGACCUGCCUUAGACAAAGAAUGCACUCGGAGCCCCAACACACCUAAAGCCAUGCUUUGAAGGAUCUGCCAAGCUCACUUUUAAUCAUGAGAAAGAAAUUACCCACACGGAGUCAGCAGAAAAUGAGAAAGUAGAGCUCGUGCUGUGAAUAAUUCCAGCAAGUGCCAAGGGGCUAGUUGAGGAAUGGCUUCAUGAGAACAUGCUCUAGGGGAACUAUUAAUAGCCCACCAGUCGGGUAGGCAGCAUUCAAUCCUUCUAUGCCUUCUUUCGCCACCUGUUGAGGUCUUUCUUCUGAAACAAAGAAGAAAUAGACAAAUCAGACUUGCCCUCUUGGAAAUGUGGUCCAGAUUUCUCUACUCCCAAGCUCCAAAAAAGGUAUACAUUGGAUGGGCUAGAUCAACUCCUCCUGAGAGCCAUAAAUCCGCCAAGAGUUGUUUUCCAUGUAAGGGUGUGGUACAAUGGGGAACACCUGAUGUUGGAGGAAAGCAGGAGGACUUUAGAGUGGAGUUGCAUUCUAAUCUCUCUGCCGCUUCAACUAUGUGACCUGGGGCAAAUGAUAUAAACUCUAUGAGCCUCUUUCCUUAUCUUUAAAAUGAAGAGAAGUAAUACCUACCUUGUAGGGCUGUUGUGAGGAUUAAAUGAAGUAAUGCAUACAGUGCCUAACAAAGUAUUUAACAUCAUAUUUUUUAAAAGCUCAUGAAAUAUUAGUUUUUCUUCCUUCCCCUCUUUCUAUUUUCUCUCCUGUUCCCUUUUCUCUCCCUCCUCUGCCCUCUCCUUCCUUCAGAUGUUAGUCUAAAACAGCACCUUGGAUCUAAGCAGCACCUUUGAGAAAGAAAAGACUGCUUCAAGAAUGUCUAGUUGCACCUCCUUUCCGUAUGUGGCCUAAAUGCCUAGGUUGGAUCAAUAGUUUAAUUUUUUUAUUGAACUGUUUAAUAUUGACUAUGGACUUACAUUCACUUUUACUGUUUUCUGUAUAUUUACUUUUGCUUGAAGUGUUUUAAUAUUGACUAUUUACCUCUGCUCAUUUUUAUUGAUUUUCUGUAUUUUUUCAAUGAAAAUUAUAAUAAAAAUUAUUUUUGUUA